GCUGGGUGUGGUGGUGGGCACCUGUAAUCCCAGCUACUCAGGAGGCUGAGGCAGGAGAAUCACUUGAACCUGGGAGGCAGAGGUUGCAGUGAGCUGAGAUUGCACCACUGCACUCCAGCCUGGGUGACAGAGUGAGACUCUGUCUCAA
rnacentral:SRP_RNA from 1 species